AGUUAAUUAGUUUAGUGAUAAAGCUUAUGUCUUGAAAACAUAAAUAAGAAGUUCAAAUCUUCUAUUAACUU
rnacentral:tRNA from 1 species